UACGGUAGUUUUUUUGUGACGCGCGCGUCUGGAAUUACGGUAGUUGCAUUCGGGUGCGCGCGCGGAAAUACGGUAGUUUUUUGUGACGCGCGCGUCUGGAAUUACGGUAGUUGCCUUCGGAAAUACGUGUGGAUGUGGUGGGCGCGCGCGGAAAUACGGUAGUUUUUUUGUGCUACGCGCGUCUGGAAUUACGGUAGUUGCCUUCGGAAAUACGGGUGGUUGUGGUGGGCGCGCGUCUGGAAUUACGGUAGAUGUGUUGGGAUGCGCACCCUGAGUUACCGGUGAAUUACGGUAGCUGCGGCGCGCAUGCGCAUUUGUGACUAGGGGGAUUGUGCGGCUCUUCGGGAAGUACGGUAAUGCUGCGCAUGCGCAUUUGGAAACAUCGGAGUUCCGGUAGCUGGUGCGGUUGGAAUUACGGUAGUGUGGUGCGCAUGCGCUCUGGGAGAAACCGGAUGAGCGCGACAUGCGGAAAUACGGUAGUGAUGGCGCGCAGGCGCGUUUGGCAAGGGUAGCGAGGUGCGCAUGCGCGUUGAGAAAUACGGUACCUUUGGAAUCAGGGCGCCCUGGGAAUUACGGCACUUGAGAUGUGAUGCGGAUUUGUACUUACGCCUCAGCAGAAUCCCUGACUUGCAAUUUUUCCAGGAAUUUGGCCGACUGUCUCAGCAGGAUCGGCGGCUCCUCCAUGCCCGGGGUGGUGUUCUCUUUUCCAGGGCUGCGAGAGCUUCCUCACGUCCAGCCCGUGGUUUUUUUGGGAGCAGAAGGACCCAAAAUCCGUCAAGUUUUCUCCUCUGAGCUCCUCUGGGACGUGCAUGGAGGCUGGAAAAGGGUGAGUCAGUAAAAUUUUGGUUUUUUUCCUCCUGCUCCUGUUGCUCUUUAGGUUUAGUUUUGGAAAUGUUUCGUUUCGGGCUGGUUGUUUUUCUGGUUUUUUGGGGUUUUUUUUCAAUUUAACAUGAUUUGUGCAGAAUAAAAUUUCCUUUUCUCUACGCGUCCUGAUCCAAGAAAAUCCAUUCCACCACCAAAUCAUGGAAUGGUUUGGGUUGGAAGGGAAUUUCAUGGAGUUCCACCUCCCUAAAAUGGGCUGGGACACUUCCCACGACCCCAUGGAGCUCUGAGCCACUUCCAACCUGUCCUUGGACCCUUCCAGAGGAAAAUCAGGAUGUCCCCGAGGGAUCUGAUGUGGCACUUGGGGACGUGGCCGAUGUCCCUUCCAACCCCAAACCAUUCCAUAAUUCUGUUCCUGAAUUUUCUUUGUUCUGCCUGGAGCUUUUCAGGGAAGCUCCGAGCAAAUUUCCUCUGGCUUUUAAACCUUGAUUAAAAAUGAGAUGCCGACAACUCAAGCCAAGUGAAUUCCCGCUGUCUCCGUCACCAUGGAAACGUGAGACUGUUGUCUUUUAAUAUUUUUAAGUUAUAUAAAUGCUCGGAACAACUCUGAAACCCCCCCUCAACAAUUAAACAAGAGGAACAGAGGAAAAAUCAAAUCCACUUUUCCAUCAAGGAAAUGGAUGAUCUUGAGGGUCUCUCCCAGAUUGAACCAUUCCAUGAAAAAUAAUCCAAUCCCAUUUAUUCCACAGCCCAAAUCUUGGAGUGCUGAUGUUUUAAUCCCAUAUUUUAACACGCUGCUCCCUCUCCGUUCUCCCCGGCCUGUUGCAAAUCCAACCCUAAGGAAUGAAGAUGGAGAACGAGACUCCUUCAGGACUGGAGGGCGUUUUUUCAGGAUGAUUUUUUUUCCCAUGUUGGUGGAUUUGCUUUCCUGGCUCUCCUGAUGUUCACACAACCCUGAGCAGUUUCUAAAUUCAUAUAAAAUCUUCAUUUCUGUUUGUUUGGCUUGUCCAUAUCCAGCUGGGAAAUUGGGAAAUGUUGUUGUUGUCCCACCUGGGAGCGGGAGCCGCAGGAAUUCAGCUGAGUAACAGCGGAUUUUGGGAGUGGAAAAUAUAAUUUCAGUCCUCAGGA